rnacentral:rRNA from 1 species
GAUGAACGCUGGCGGCGUGCCUAAUACAUGCAAGUCGAGCGAAUGGAUUAAGAGCUUGCUCUUAUGAAGUUAGCGGCGGACGGGUGAGUAACACGUGGGUAACCUGCCCAUAAGACUGGGAUAACUCCGGGAAACCGGGGCUAAUACCGGAUAACAUUUUGAACCGCAUGGUUCGGAAUUGAAAGGCGGCUUCGGCUGUCACUUAUGGAUGGACCCGCGUCGCGUUAGCUAGUUGGUGAGGUAACGGCUCACCAAGGCAACGAUGCGUAGCCGACCUGAGAGGGUGACCGGCCACACUGGGACUGGGACACGGCCCAGCCUCCUACGGGAGGCAGCAGUAGGGAAUCUUCCGCAAUGGACGAAAGUCUGACGGAGCAACGCCGCGUGAGUGAUGAAGGCUUUCGGGUCGUAAAACUCUGUUGUUAGGGAAGAACAAGUGCUAGUUGAAUAAGCUGGCACCUUGACGGUACCUAACCAGAAAGCCACGGCUAACUACGUGCCAGCAGCCGCAGUAA